GCCUGACCAAGGCCGGUUAGCCGUUAGAUACAGCCCAAAUGUAGAUAACUAAGGAGUGAAUACUGACAGGGUACAAAGUUACUUUGGAGUAAAGAAAAAUUGUUCGCAGACUAGAAGAUAGUGACUGUGAUAUUUUGAAAAUGGAAUUAACAUUGAGAACCUUACCUCGUGUUUUACACAAACCACAGACUGUGAAUUGCCCCAGAAUCAGCCUGUGUCACACACGCCUCUUUCAAAAUUGUGUGAGCAAAAAGUCAUCAAUGCCAGCUAAAUGGAGCACAAAGACAGUUAUUGUAGCUGAGAGGACUCUGUUUCAAAUGUUGCCUGUUGUUUACUGGCAGACAAACAGACAUAUGGCAGGGCACAGUAAAUUCUCUAACAUCAAACAUCGGAAAGAGGCGCAGGACAGUAAAAAGUCAGCACUGAUGGGACAGUAUGUCAAGCUAGCACAGUCAGCU